AUCGAAGAUUUUUAUCAUUUUGGCUGAAAAAACAAGAAAUUGGAAGUAAAAAAUUUUCUUUUUUUUAAUCUUUUGGUGGAUUUUUGAAAUGGAAGGGAAGAGCUCAGUGAGGUUCACUCUUGGGAAGCAAUCAUCUUUAGCGCCAGACAGCCACCAGAAGGAUUCAGGCACAGAACAGGAAGAGAUCGAACCUGGUGUGCGGCUAAUGUAUUCGGCCAAUGAGGGCAAUUUGGAUGGGAUUCGUGAACUCUUGGAUUCGGGCAUUGAUGUUAAUUUCCGUGACAUCGAUAACCGGACUGCGCUUCAUGUUGCUGCUUGCCAAGGCAAUGCGGACGUGGUUGCUCUGUUGCUCGAUAACGGGGCCCAGGUUGACACCAAAGACCGAUGGGGGAGCACGCCUCUCGCUGAUGCUAUAUACUAUAAAAACCAUGAAGUGAUCAAACUUUUGGAGAAACAUGGUGCAAAGCGUCCGAUGGCUCCCAUGCACGUCAAUCAUGCCCGUGAAGUCCC
rnacentral:misc_RNA from 1 species